rnacentral:rRNA from 1 species
AGUCGAGCGGAACGAAAGUAGCUUGCUACUAGGCGUCGAGCGGCGGACGGGUGAGUAAUGCUUAGGAAUCUACCGAGUAGUGGGGGAUAGCCAUUGGAAACGAUGAUUAAUACCGCAUAUAUCCUACGGGGGAAAGCAGGGGACCUUCGGGCCUUGCGCUAUUCGAUGAGCCUGAGUGAGAUUAGCUAGUUGGUGGGGUAAAGGCCUACCAAGGCGACGAUCUCUAGCUGGUCUGAGAGGAUGAUCAGCCACACUGGGACUGAGACACGGCCCAGACUCCUACGGGAGGCAGCAGUGGGGAAUAUUGCACAAUGGGCGAAAGCCUGAUGCAGCCAUGCCGCGUGUGUGAAGAAGGCCUUCGGGUUGUAAAGCACUUUCAGCGAGGAGGAAAGGUUAGUAGUUAAUAACUGCUAGCUGUGACGUUACUCGCAGAAGAAGCACCGGCUAAUUUAGUGCCAGCAGCCGCGGUAAUACUAAAGGUGCAAGCGUUAAUCGGAAUUACUGGGCGUAAAGCGCGCGUAGGUGGUUUGUUAAGUUGGAUGUGAAAGCCCAGGGCUCAACCUUGGAACUGCAUUCAAAACUGACUCACUAGAGUACGAGAGAGGUUAGUGGAAUUUCCUGUGUAGCGGUGAAAUGCGUAGAGAUGGGAAGGAACACCAGUGGCGAAGGCGACUGACUGGCUCGAUACUGACACUGAGGUGCGAAAGCGUGGGGAGCAAACGGGAUUAGAUACCCCGGUAGUCCACGCCGUAAACGAUGUCUACUAGCCGUUGGAGGACUUGAUCCUUUAGUGGCGCAGCUAACGCGAUAAGUAGACCGCCUGGGGAGUACGGUCGCAAGAUUAAAACUCAAAUGAAUUGACGGGGGCCCGCACANNNNNNNGAGCAUGUGGUUUAAUUCGAAGCAACGCGAAGAACCUUACCUACUCUUGACAUCNNNNNNACUUAGCAGAGAUGCUUUGGUGCCUUCGGGAACNNNNNNACAGGUGCUGCAUGG